GAGGGAGGGUAUGAAACAUGUAAAACAUAUCUGAGAAAGUGCCCAUCCCGUCAUCCUUGGUUGCCUGAAUACCUUGACUCCCACUGGGAGGAGAACGGACACAUCACAGAGUCCUAGUUAUUGAGGAGGCAGGAAGACACGAUCAGUCACGACCAUACCAUGAAGCAAAGAGAAUCCAGACACAGCAGUGUGAGCUGUGGGAUUCUGUUGGCUAAAAUGUCCCGAUUCUUGGUGACGGGACAUAACAGAGGCCAAGGUGAAGAUCUGCCUUGGAGGCAGAGAGGAAGGGGAAGGCGCGUAAGGUGCAGCCCUUGAAGACUGGGUGUGUUUGGUUUCUGACUGGAGUCUGGUCACACACUUUGGAGUGGGUCGUUCUAACAGACCAACUUAUCCAUUUUGUGGGUGGAUAAAGAAGGGAGUCCCGUGUCACAGGAUAUUGGAACCCCAAGAUCGUGUGCCCAUCCCAAGCACACACUUUUAGUCAAAGAGCUUUGCGUUUAUCAUAAGCAGUCUUAAAUAAAAUCAACCACAGAUCAAGAAGUGGAGCAAAGCAACCAGCUGACGGGGUGGACAUUGAAGUAAAUGGACAGAGUGGGAGGAAGUCAGGAGGAGGGAUAGUGAGGCACACAGGAAGGAGAAGGGAGGGAUGCUCAGUUGGAAGGUUUAUUGGGCUAGUGUGGAGAAGGAGAGCUUUUUCCUUUUGGGAUGCUGGCUGAGCAGCAAGGUCAGCUGGGUGCUUUCUCUGCCCCUCUGAGGCUUUCACCCCAGCAUCUGGCUCCUGACUCUUCACUGGUAAAUGGAACGUUUAAGACUCUGUUAAGAACAACAGUGGGGGUCCACCUACUGAUUGGCUUUCACAGUCGCUCGCUCCUUCCUCCACAGGGGAGUUCAUCUUCUCUUGACUUUCUUUGGUGAACUCCUAUAGAUUGAUCUCAUCUAGACCAGGCUUCUUCUUCUUAAGGAAGCCCUUUUCCUAUUGUAUCAGUCAGCGGUGGCCGCAAAACAAACACGACCAUGAAGAGAGUGAGAACAGUGAUUGUUAGCUCACAUUUCUUUAUUUGGGACGUACGUGAUACCCAUGAGCUGGGGUGUCAGACAGGAGGGCUCCAUCCAGACAGAGUACCCAGGGAGGAAGCCAGCAGCAGGAUAUGACAUAGGCCCGCUGUCUAGGCCCCUCAGUGGCAGAGUGGAGACCAGACCGAGUAUGGAACUCAGGCGGUGACCACUAGCCUGUACAGAUUCGGACCCCAGCCCCGGCACCUCCUUCCUGUGCAGCUUUGGGUGGGCGUGGACUUCUGUCCUGGUGAAAGGGAGUCACAGUGAGUUUUAGAGGCAAUGAUCACACAUAAUGUGCAGAGCUGCUCCCUAUACAUAGUAGGUACACAGCAAGGACCCUGUAGUCUGCUUGCUCUGGCAGACUAAUGUCACUCAGAGAUCCCUGGUGGCAGGGGAUCCUGACUCAUUCAGUGACCUUGGUAUCCUCAGUUCUGCAGUGACUAUGGCCUGGAGCAGCUGUGACUGGGUGGCCCCUCUCCAGGUGCAGGUGCUGGACCUGCAGGAUCCUCCAGUGUGUCUCAGAGCCAGCCCCAUGUUUAAGGUAUUGCUGAACCCACUGACAGAAAGUCCUAUGACAGUGUCUCCUUUGUUAAUCAGCCAAACCUUCCCGGUGCCAGGUUAGCAGGGCCAUAUUUGCCUCACUUUAGGGCUUGCCCUAGGAUGCAGGUCAAAGGUAACCAGGCCCCUCCACCACCAGCAGUGUGGACCGCAACGUGGCGUGGCGUUAAUGUUGGAGUUUCUUUUUGAUACCAACCUUUCUGGAAAGAACUGCCCACGCGAACAUCACCUGCCCUGCGACCCGAUCAUUGCAGAACUCCUUCAGCAAAGCAGGAGGCUGGCUCCUGACAGACCUCUGGUCCUGAGGUCAGGCUCCCCUCUCCAGCAUCCCCAUCCACGAGAGGCACCGUGGGUGGCAUGUCCCUAGUAGCAGGGCCCUUUCGCCAUCACAAAGAGAACCCACUUCUCCCAAAUGAAUGGAACCCCAACUUCAGGAACACAUGGUCUCACUGCAGUGUGCGGACAGGUGGGGGAUUCUCGGCUCUACUUGAUCCUGACAGGAUAUGGGACAACUGUGGCCACUAAGCAUCUAGACCUCAUGGCUCAUGGAUUUCAUAGCAGAAUCCAUGCCCCAAUCCUGUGCAUUCUCAGGGGGCUGCUGGGUGCUCAGUGGUGAUAUAAGGGGACACACACACACGCUCAGGACAAUGAGGCAGCAAAUAGGGGUGUAGCGUCUGGGUCACAGUGACACUGGGAGGGAGGGAGAGGCGCCUGUGGUAGGAAGGAAGUUAGAGAUGUGCGUAGAAGGAACCAAGGGCUGAGAAUCAGGAAGGUGGAAGAGUAUCUAGCUGUGGGCAGAAGAGUCCAUUGUGGUGUCAGACUAGCUUUAAAGGAAUGGGGAGGGUGCACAGGACACCCAGACUUCCCCACAUGUCCCUGUCAGAGAAUGUCUCCAUCUUCUCAGGGUUUCUUGCAGUCUCCCUCAUUUACUUCCUUCCCUGGCCACUUCUUUCACCAGGACUCGCUGGUACUCACCGUCAGCCGUCAGCCGCUGUGCAGGGCACAGGUGGUCCCAUGCCAGUCCCUGCCUCUGCCACCAGGGACAUAAAGGGCAGUUUGAUGUGGAAGGACUCAGUAAUAGCAGUGUCGUGCCACAGUGAGAAAGUGUGUCUCUGCUAGAGGUGCUCCCGCCCCCAGAACCAUUCUCUUCCAAGCAAAGCAAAGUUACAUUGUUAUACCUGUCAGAUGGCUUGAGGGAAGGCCGUGUGCCAGCAUCUAGUGCCCCGGAACACCUCAAAUGGAUCCUGGAAGGACUUCAUGGUGACCGGGCUUGGUGGGGUGCAGCUGCUCAUUUUGACAGGCUGGAAGAGAGGACCAGGAGAGCAAGCAAAAGGAGGCAGUGGAGACAAGCAAUACCCUUCCAAAGCAUGUCCCCCAUAGUGGCCUCUUCCCUUAAACUCUCCCUCUGCCUCCCAACUUCCCAUUGCCUCCCAACACCACUGCCAGUUAUAACUCUAUCGAGGGACUUUCCAUUGAUGAAGACAGCACCUGUUUGCUGGUUCAUCUAAUCUGUGUCUGGAUUCAUCUAUACUGUCAUUGCUAUAGGCAGUGUGUGUGUGUGUGU
rnacentral:sRNA from 1 species